GAAUCACACGGUUCCAGUUUCUCAGCCACAUCAGGAGGAUGAUGUAUUAAGAUAUAUACAGUAAAAUGUUUUUCUUAGCUGCUUCACAAAAACAGGAAUCAACUAGCAGAGAAGAAAGACUUUCUCUCCCCGAGGAAAAGAGUACAAAGCCAAGUCUGUACACAGCAGAUGCAAAGAAAGUCCAUCUGCUACCAGCUCACAACACCACAUGGAGUUCUAAGAUUUAAUACUACACUUGUAAUUUAUCAUGCUGUAAAUGUUUGUGAAGAAUUGUGAAGAACAGAUACAAUGAUACACCAAAAAGGGGAAAAAUGAUCAUCUGUUAUCAUGUCAGUCAAAUGAAAUUUUCACACAAAUCUGUUUACAAUAGGAAUGAUGAUAUUGUGCUUCAGUGCAACACCGUGCUAUCAACCUCUGAGGCUUUUGACCUUCCGAGGUCAAAAAGGACAAACAAUACCACUAGUGUCUGCUUUGCAAAAAGCUGGGGUUGCUGUCUGCAAGCAAUGGUAUCAUUUCCAUGGCAACCCCCUAACUAUUAAUUUUCAAUUAAAGCAGACACAAAGCGGACAGCCUCAGGCCGACAGACGAUGUCAAGAGCCUAUCUCUAUAUGCAACAGUUUCACGCAGUUAU